rnacentral:rRNA from 1 species
CAGUGAACAAUUAAACGGCCGCGGUACCCUAACCGUGCAAAGGUAGCGUAAUCAUUUGUCUAUUAAUUGUAGACCAGUAUGAAAGGCAAAAUGAGGGUUUGUCUGUCUCUUAUAAUAAAUCAAUUAAACUGAUCUACUAGUAAAAAAGCUAGAAUUAAAACAUAAGACCAGAAGACCCUGUGAAGCUUAAACAAAACUAUUAAACCCUAUAAUAACUACUUUCGGUUGGGGCGACCUUGGAAAAAAAAAGAACUUCCAAACACAUGAUUACAACUCAAUAACAUUAUUAGGCCUACAAGCCUAUACAUUAGACCCAGUACAACUGAUAACUGAACAAAGUUACUCCAGGGAUAACAGCGCCAUCUUCUUCAAGAGUCCAUAUCAAAAAGAAGGUUUACGACCUCGAUGUUGGAUCAGGACAUCCUAAUGGUGCAGCCGCUAUUAAGGGUUCGUUUGUUCAACGAUCAAUAGUCCCACGUGAU